rnacentral:lncRNA from 1 species
CUUUAAAUGGGUGAAUUUCAUAUGGUAUGUGAUUUUUAUCUCGCUAAAUUAAAGCAUUAUAAAAAGCUUUAUCUACAGUAGUGUUCAAAUUUAAAUGGUUCAAUUUAAUGCACUAUAAAAGCCUAUGGAAUGUGUUCCUUACCAUAGUGUAUGUUAGCCAUAAACAUGCGUGUCCCUGACCUUAAUAGCAAAGCAUGUAUUAUCUGCCAGUGACCCAAACCCCACUGUCUAUCAGAAGUAGCAUUAGAGCCACAGAAGUAGCCUGUGCUCCUAGCGUAUUCCAUAAGGCUCUGUAAGACGGAUGUUUGUUUGUGUCCCUAACCACCAGAGUACUCUUGACCUUGGAAAUACGGUAUAGAGAACUGAGCACAUGGGCCACAAGGAAUGGUGACUCUAUCACUUGCGGUGUAGACCAACUACCUAGUCUUAGACAACUUUGGCAUUCACUUACGUGAUUCAAUUUUCAGUAUUCCUAUUUGUAUUUAAAACCCUGGCUCCUCGCCACUUAAAAGCAAUGUCAGGACAGCCACAGGACAUUCAAACUUUGGUUCCCAGCAUCAGGUGUGCAAUCACUUCAUGUGAGAACAGUGAGGCAAGGAACAUUUUUUUCAAUCACCUUACUCACAAGCUGAGAUUUGCCGGCUUAAGGAAAGACUCGGGGCAGUCAAUGUCCCCACUUCUUCCUAGACACGGUUGAAGAUGGGCUAAUGAGAGGUUAACUUGAGAGUGUAAUUCUCUCUUGGCAUCCUGAUUCUGAUUGCUUGGCUUUAGGCUUCUACCCAGCAUGAAGAUUUAAUUUCCUCACAGCUGAAGAUAGUUUCAAGUUUAUUACUUACAUGCUAAAAUGUUGAUGUAUCUGUUUUUGUGCUUGUUAUCUGGAUGAUUGGAAUGUUCUGCAGUGAUGUUCAUAUCGGCCGUACAGCGUUGGACUUCCUAGUGAAAAAAACAUCAAGAUUUCAAAGAUUUUAGACGCACUUUAGAUGUCUAGCAAGGGUAUAGGAAGAAAAGAACUAUAUACCCCAAAGCAUGAAGUAUUUACUCACUCCCUAGGAUAGCUGCCAUUACCUCCCCAACUCAGCUUCAGAAAUAAUUGAUGUAUUCAUAACAAACGUACGAAGGAUGUGAAGAAGAUAAAAGGAUUUCAUGUUUUACUAAUUCAUCAAUCAUCUACUUCAUUCCAAACUGGUGACCUAGGCAUGGGGGAUUACAAAACACGAUCUCUUCUUGAGUAUGUCCCAGUCUGAUGGGGGAGGAACACACACAAAAGGAUAAAGACAGUCAAAUGUGAUUCACAGAAAAGAGGCCUGAAGAUACUGUUGCAGGAGCACAAAGAAAGGCUCCUGGCAGGUCAUUUACCUCAGUCUUAGAGGAUGAACAACAAUUUCCCAGUCAGAGGUACAAUCUCCACCAUCAUUUGCAAAAUGCUUACAGGCCACAUAGCUUGUUUUAUAACUGCCUGAGUGCAAAUUGAUUAUAUUCCGUCAUGAAGUGACACUAUAUUAGCCUGGUGACCUGUCCUUAUGUGGCUCAAAUAGAUCCAGAUUUGCUGAAUUAUUUGUGAACUCUUAGUUUCAUUUACAUUAUCCUUCUUUACAAAACCAACAGUGGAAGAGGGACCUCUUCAGGACCUUAGCCACGUAUGGUAAACAUCAUCCAUUAGCCUCCUGCACGAUGGCUGUAAAGUCAACAUUUUCUACAGUGUACGGUUCAAACCCAAGAAAGUACUGGGGCUAACUAAUAAGGGAAGUGAUUAGCAGCGCACAGCUGUUGCAAAGAGCAGGAGCAAGUGACAGAAAAUUAUCAGGAGAAAUGUUUUACACGUGACAGAUGUAACAGAGUUUAGGAGCGUGCAGAUUUUCUUUUUUUCCAUGAAGGAGAUGCGUAGCAAUUAUCGAUGUUUUCCAUAGCAUUUACAUGAGGCAUAAUGAAAAC